UUAUGAUGAUACCCAUGAGCUGGCACCAGUCCUAGAAAGAUUUGUACUCUGUUUGCUGCGGAAUGCUUAACCGGGCUAGAAAAAAAAGCCCAUCUGAA
rnacentral:snoRNA from 1 species